GACGAACGCUGGCGGCGUGCCUAAUACAUGCAAGUCGAACGCAGUGGGGACGGGUGAGUAACACGUGGGUAACCUCCCAUCAGAGGGGAUAACACUUGGCAACAGGUGCUAAACCGAUACUGAUUGAUGGACCCGCGGGGCAGUAGCUAGUUGGUGGGGUAACGGCUUACCAAGGCUACGAUGCAUAGCUGGCCGGAGAGGAUGAUCGGCCACACUGGGACUGAGACACGGCCCAGACUCCUACGGGAGGCAGCAGUGGGGAAUCUUGGGCAAUGGACGAAAGUCUGACCGAGCAACGCCGCGUGAGUGAAGAAGGUUUUCGGAUCGUAAAGCUCUGUUGGUAGAGAAGCGGUAUCUAACCAGAAAGCCACGGCUAACUACGUGCCAGCAGCCGCGGUAAUUC
rnacentral:rRNA from 1 species